CACUCCGGUCCGACCUGCGCUCCCUAUGCACCACCCACUGGGGAGAAAGCACCCCACCAAGCCCCACCCCUCCCUCCCGCCGGGCAAACUCACUCCCGCGAGUGAAUAUGCCCAACUCGGCUGGAUUCGGGUCCGGUUGCCUGCCUUACGCUCACCGAAGCAAGAUCCGACCGCAGACAUGCGACGGCCCCCGCCGGGACUAGCGAUCCCAGUGCGGGGGCCUGACCACCGAGGAAGUUAGGCCCUUCCUG
rnacentral:ncRNA from 1 species